rnacentral:rRNA from 1 species
GACGAACGCUGGCGGCGUGCUUAACACAUGCAAGUCGAACGGAAAGGCCCUGCUUUUGUGGGGUGCUCGAGUGGCGAACGGGUGAGUAACACGUGAGUAACCUGCCCUUGACUUUGGGAUAACUUCAGGAAACUGGGGCUAAUACCGGAUAGGAGCUCCUGCUGCAUGGUGGGGGUUGGAAAGUUUCGGCGGUUGGGGAUGGACUCGCGGCUUAUCAGCUUGUUGGUGGGGUAGUGGCUUACCAAGGCUUUGACGGGUAGCCGGCCUGAGAGGGUGACCGGCCACAUUGGGACUGAGAUACGGCCCAGACUCCUACGGGAGGCAGCAGUGGGGAAGAUUGAACAAUGGGCGGAAGCCUGAUGCAGAAACGCCGCGUGCGGGAUGACGGCCUUCGGGUUGUAAACCGCUUUCGCCUGUGACGAAGAGUGAGUGACGGUAAUGGGUAAAGAAGCACCGGCUAACUACGUG